CGCGUAGGCGGAUUGGAAAGUUGGGGUGAAAUCCCAGGGCUCAACCCUGGAACUGCCUCCAAAACUACCAGUCUAGAGUUCGAGAGAGGUGAGUGGAACUCCGAGUGUAGAGGUGAAAUUCGUAGAUAUUCGGAAGAACACCAGUGGCGAAGGCGGCUCACUGGCUCGAUACUGACGCUGAGGUGCGAAAGUGUGGGGAGCAAACA
rnacentral:rRNA from 1 species